GUUGUCUGUUUCACCUCUUGGUUUAGCCAUCACCGGAUAGCCACACCGGGGGGAAACGGACACUUCACCUCAGUUUGUACACUGUGUUCUUUUCCAUUUUGUCUUGGAAAGAUGCUCCUGCCUUUGUUCCAGUACUUUUAAGGGAUGCUGUCUCGCCAGCCCUCGGCUCUGACUAACAGUGAUAUGGACAGGGCAGGCUUGGCCCCCAAAGCAUAAUCAGUUAGUCAGCUGGGUGGCCCAGUCCCUGCGAACGGGAAUGGCCAGCCACCUCAGCACGCUUGGACUGCGGGGAUGGGAGGGAGGGCUCCCUGCCACCGAAGCCAGUUGCCCUGUGGAGGGCACAGGGGAGAGUUUCACCAGCCCCCAAAAGAGGCUUUCCAGGAGGCUCCUUGGCCACAUUGUGCCAGAUGAGCCAGAAAUUUCCCCACAGGCUUAGAAUGGGCAGUUGAUGCUGACUCCAGAGCGCAGCUGGGCGACGUCACAGUUUUGCUGCCUUCCUAAUUUCUUGAACACAUGAAUCAUUCCAGAAUGCGGUGGUCCUGCCAUCAUCCCCCUGGACUCACGUGCAUAAACACGGCGUUCACGGCUCCAUCCUCCUGGGCAGCAGCACUUCCGCUCUGGAGCUUUCUGAGUCCCGUGUGUGGUCUCUCAGUUCCGCUGUGUUUGAAGGUGCAGGUGGGCAGUGUCUCUCCUUAGACUAGAAUUUGGACAGCCCCCCCACAGCUGUUAAUUGCUGUGACUUGGAAGGCGGUCAGGCCCACGGGUGCCGCUCAUUCAUGUUGCAAACCAGAGGACAGGGUGGCCAGGCCUGGGACAGGUGUCUAUCCUACUGUGGCUCCUCUGAUAAAAUCUGGGGUGUGUUCCUCAGAAGCCAGGGGCAUGGGUGCAGGGCCAGAAGAAACAGCAGAGUCUCCCCCAGAAGGCCCACUAAUUCUG
rnacentral:lncRNA from 1 species